rnacentral:lncRNA from 10 species
GGACCACCUUUUAAAUAAAAAUUAUCAACUAGGCUAGAAUAUUGGCCAAAGAAAGCAAGUGAUGAAAUGUAUUACUGCAGUGAUGAUUUUUAACAUUUAAAUUAAUUGCUGAAGUAUUUAGCUAGCUAAUUCCUAUAUAUAGGCAUUAUUCACAAUAGCAAAGACUUGGAACCAACCCAAAUGUCCAUCAAUGAUAGAUUGGAUUAAGAAAAUGUGGCACAUAUACACCAUGGAAUACUAUGCAGCACACCAACAUGGCACAUGUAUACAUAUGUAACAAACCUGCAUGUUGUGCACAUGUACCCUAGAACUUAAAGUAUAUAAAAAAAUUGAUCAAGAGGGAUUUUAUUGUGAGGGGAUUGAAAUGUUCUAGAGCUGAUUUACAGUAAUGGUUGUACUGAGUAAAGUCACUAAAAAUCAUUGAAUUGUACACUUAAGAUGAAUAAUUUUUUG